AGAGUUUGAUCCUGGCUCAGGACGAACGCUGGCGGCGUGCCUAACACAUGCAAGUCGAGCGGAGAACUUCGGUUCUCAGCGGCGGACGGGUGAGUAACACGUGGGUAACCUGCCUUGUAGAGGGGGAUAGCCUUCCGAAAGGAAGAUUAAUACCGCAUAACAUUAUGCUUUCGCAUGAGAGUAUAAUCAAAGGAGCAAUCCGCUACAAGAUGGACCCGCGGCGCAUUAGCUAGUUGGUGAGGUAACGGCUCACCAAGGCGACGAUGCGUAGCCGGCCUGAGAGGGUGAACGGCCACAUUGGAACUGAGACACGGUCCAGACUCCUACGGGAGGCAGCAGUGGGGAAUAUUGCACAAUGGGCGAAAGCCUGAUGCAGCAACGCCGCGUGAGUGAUGAAGGCCUUCGGGUUGUAAAGCUCUGUCUUCUGGGACGAUAAUGACGGUACCAGAGGAGGAAGCCACGGCUAACUACGUGCCAGCAGCCGCGGUAAUACGUAGGUGGCAAGCGUUGUCCGGAUUUACUGGGCGUAAAGGAUGCGUAGGCGGAUGCUUAAGUCAGAUGUGAAAAUCCCGAGCUUAACUUGGGAACUGCAUUUGAAACUGGGUAUCUAGAGUGCGGGAGAGGAGAGUGGAAUUCCUAGUGUAGCGGUGAAAUGCGUAGAGAUUAGGAAGAACACCAGUGGCGAAGGCGACUCUCUGGACCGUAACUGACGCUGAGGCAUGAAAGCGUGGGGAGCAAACAGGAUUAGAUACCCUGGUAGUCCACGCCGUAAACUAUGAAUACUAGGUGUGGGAGUUGUCAUGACUUCCGUGCCGCAGUUAACACAAUAAGUAUUCCGCCUGGGGAGUACGGUCGCAAGAUUAAAACUCAAAGGAAUUGACGGAAUCG
rnacentral:rRNA from 1 species